CUUCACUAUUAACUAAAGAGCUCACUCUACCCAUCGAAUCCUUUGUACUCUGGACUGAUUCUACCACUGUCCUAACAUGGCUUCAGUCAGAAUCCUGCCGUUACAAAGUAUUUGUAGGCACCAGAAUUGCCGAAAUACAGGAACUUACAAGUGCAAAUGCUUGGCGUUACGUGGAAUCCAACAAUAAUCCAGCUGAUUAUAUAACUCAUGGGAAAACUCUGAAGGAGCUAGCUACAGACAAAACCUGGAGACAAGGACCGGAAUAUCUGUGGAACUCCCCUUGCUACUGGCCUGUUAUCCCCGACAUAAAUGCAAAGGAAAAUCCUGUCGAAUUAAAGAAGCCCACCUUCUGUAGUCACGUAACAGUCGAUGUACAGCCAUUGCCUGAUCCGCAACAGUUUAGCUGCUUUACAGCCUUAGUUGAAGCGACAGCACUACUUCUGCACGGGGCGGCAGGUAAAGAUGGAGAUCUUUCAGCCGUGGAUUAUCAGUCAGCAGAAAGAAAUAUCUUACGAAAGGUUCAAAUUGACUGCUUCCCUGAUGACAUCAAUGCCCUAGUCGCCGGUAAACCAGUACCAUCCUCUAGCCGCCUCAUAACUUUAGCACCUGAAUAUGACAGCACAGUUGGGCUCAUCCGAGUGGGUGGGAGACUACGCCGCAGUGUUCAAUUAGAUGCAGAUGCUGUUCACCCAAUUGUUCUUGACCCAUCUCACAAAAUUACCCAACUUCUCAUUCAGAACAUAGACUAAGAGCUUCAUCACCCUGGGGCGGAACGGGUCUUCGCAGAAAUCCGCCGUAAAUAUUGGAUUUUACGCGGCAGAGAAGCAGUUAAACGGCAACAACACUUAUGCCCUGAUUGUUAAAGGUGGCGAGCUAAACCAACAGUGCCUCAGAUGGCAGAUCUCCCACAAGCCAGACUUCAGAUUUUCAAACCACCUUUCUUCUCUACAGGAAUGGACUGUUUUGGCCCUUUUACUGUUAAACUAGGCAGAAGAAGUGAAAAACGUUGGGGCAUCUUGUUCAAAUGUCUGACAACCCGUGCUGUUCACAUCGACCUACUAAGUAGUCUUGAUACUGAUUCAUUUCUGAUGUCACUAAGGCGCUUCAUAUCCCGACGAGGAAAACCUUCAGAGCUAUUAUCAGAUCAAGGCACAAACUUUAAAGGAGGAGAAAGGGAGCUCCAACAGUCAUUCACAUCAAUGUGUCCCACACUGCAGAAAGAGCUUGCUAAACAACAAAUUAAAUUUCGAUUCAACCCUCUCGGUAGUCCCCAUUUUGGAGGAGUAUGGGAACGCGAGAUUAGAUCGGUCAAGUCUGCCCUGUAUGCCACUGUAUAAAGACAAAGCAUGACUGAAGAAGUCUUGAACACUGUUCUCACUGAAAUAGAAGGAAUACUGAAUUCAAAACCUCUGGGUUAUGUGUCCACGGACAUUGCUGACCCCAACCCGGUGACUCCAAACAUUCUUCUGAUGGGGCGGCUAGACCCUUCACUCCCGCAAACAGUUUACCAUGAAACAGAGCUCUUAAGCCGCCGAAGGUGGAGACACUCGCAAGUGCUCGCGAAUUAAUUGUGGAUGCACUUCACAAAGCACUACCUACCCAGCCUACAAAUCCGUGGAAAAUGGCAGAGAGAAAGAGACCAAUUGCAGCCAGGUAUAAUUGUCAUGAUUGUGGACCCACAGUUACCUAGAGCCCUCUGGCCUGUAGGCAAGAUUAUUAAUGUUUUCCCCAGUGCGGAUGGACGAAUCAGAACUGCUGAGGUCAGAAUUAUGGACAGAACAUAUGUCAGACCUGUAGCAUGCCUCAUUAAGCUACCAGCACUCCCAGACAUGGACACAGUUUCGAGCCCUUCUGAAUAAGCAAAUUUGACUGUGCAAAUUUGGGGGCGGGUGUUGCAAAGGGCUCUUUAUUCACCCUUCUUAAGGACUGUGGACUGUUGCUGCCCCCUUGUGGAAAGACUGAGUAUGUUUAGAAUGUUCCAGAAAGUUUACCAUGCGUGUGUCAGUCGGUAAUAGUCUGCAGAGCAUGGAGCACAUGAGAAACGUCCUCCUUUUCUAGCGGUGUUAUUAAUUGUGUGCGUGCAUCUAAAUGUAAGUUUCUUUGUUCCUUAAUCAUAUUUAUCAUGUUGUUUAAGGGUUAUCACCGUGAGAUGUUUAGUUUAAUUAUUUAAUGAUUAACAUCUGUAUAUAGUUUAUUCUUAUUGUUUACAUCAAGCGGAAGCAUAUUUGCCUUUCAUUGAGUUUAGUUUAAGGUUAUUAAACGAUUUAACGAGGUUGCCGUGUAGGCUAAGAAAUGCAUAGUCAUGCUAACGCACGUGAUAUACUGUGUGACGUCAGUAUUGCAAGCGGUCGUGGGUUCGAUCCCUGGUCGGACCAAAGUUGAGAAACUGCUAUAAUAAGCUAUAUAAAGUGAAGAAUAGUACUUCUAAAUAUUAUCUGAUGUCUUUCUACCUAUUGUUACUGCUCAUUUAUUUAUUGUUUAAACUAAUGUUUACCAAAUGUUUAUUGUAUUUGUAUACUGUGGUUGAAUGUUAAUUAUUAUUCUUUGUUUCUACUUGUCUGUAGAACCACACACACACACCCUCACCCCAACUAUAUGUCUGCUUAUACUAAUGGAAAUAAACCCAAGUGAGACAAUAAGCAUCUUCGUCGCGUUUUGAUCAGACGUACCACAGUGAUUAAUUCAACUUAACCACACCAUCAGCUACAGUACACUGUCUGCCUCCUCAGAGAGUUACAGAAAACAGAAUCACAGAAGACGCUACAGAAUCAGUCUUCAACGACAGAACAGGACAGCAGCAGCACAGACACCACUGAGUGUACCUCAAUAUUGCUGGGAUUUAUUGCUGACCAUCUGAAUAAAGAAUUAACGGAAGGAGAGAAUUGGUGACUCUGCAAACUUUCAUUUCUGGACCUUCAUUUUAAAACCUGUGAAGAUCUCAUUGAGCAGGUCAACAUCAGUGUAGGGGAAAGUUACUCUUGAAAAUCAUGCAUUACGAUAUUGACUUAAUCCCUCCAAAAAUUACCUAAAUGCACUGCUUAGUUACUUUUUAUGGUAAGUAAACUGUAUUAUUGUACUGUAAA